rnacentral:rRNA from 1 species
GUAGGUGGCAGCGUUGUCCGGAAUUAUUGGGCGUAAAGCGCGCGCAGGUGGUUCGUUUAAGUCUGAUGUGAAAGACCCCCGGGCUCAACCGGGGAGGGUCAUUGGAAAACUGGGGAACUUGAGUGCAGGAGAGGAAAGUGGAAUUCCACGUGUAGCGGUGAAAUGCGUAGAUAUGUGGAGGAACACCAAUGGCGAAGGCGACUUUCUGGCCUGUAACUGACACUGAGGCGCGAAAGCGUGGGGAGCAAACAGGAUUAGAUACCCUGGUAGUCCACGCCGUAAACGAUGAGUGCUAAGUGUUGGGGGGUUUCCGCCCCUCAGUGCUGCAGCUAACGCAUUAAGCACUCCGCCUGGGGAGUACGGUCGCAAAGACUG